AACGAACGCUGGCGGCAGGCUUAACACAUGCAAGUCGAACGCCCCGCAAGGGGAGUGGCAGACGGGUGAGUAACGCGUGGGAACGUACCUUUCGCUUCGGAAUAUUCCCGGGAAACUGGGAGCAAUGCCGAAUACGCCGUAUUGGGAAAGAUUUAUCGGCGAAAGAUCGGCCCGCGUUAGAUUAGCUAGUUGGCGGUGUAAUGGACCACCAAGGCUACGAUCUAUAGCUGGUCUGAGAGGAUGAUCAGCCACACUGGGACUGAGACACGGCCCAGCCUCCUACGGGAGGCAGCAGUGGGGAAUCUUGGACAAUGGGCGCAAGCCUGAUCCAGCCAUGCCGCGUGAGUGAAGAAGGCCUUAGGGUUGUAAAACUCUUUCGCCGGAGAAGAUAAUGACGGUAUCCGGAGAAGAAGCCCCGGCUAACUUCGUGCCAGCAGCCGCCGUAACAC
rnacentral:rRNA from 1 species